rnacentral:rRNA from 1 species
GCUGGCGGUGCGCCUUAUGCAUGCAAGUCGAGCGAAGCUUUUCAGUAGUUUACUACAGAAAAUGACUGAGCGGCGAACGGGUGAGUAACGCGUGAGCAAUCUACCUUAGUUACAGGAAUAGCCCGAGGAAACUCGGAUUAAUACCUGAUAUUCUUUUUAUCUCGCAUGAGAUUUUAAGGAAAGGUCAGCCGAACUAAGAUGAGCUCGCGUUCUAUCAGCUAGUUGGUGAGGUAAUAGCUCACCAAGGCUACGACGGAUAGCUGGUCUGAGAGGACGAUCAGCCACACUGGGACUGAGACACGGCCCAGACUCCUACGGGAGGCUGCAGCAGGGAAUAUUGCGCAAUGAGCGAAAGCUUGACGCAGCGACACCGCGUGUGGGAUGACGGAUCUAGGUUUGUAAACCACUUUCAGGAGGGAAGAAAAUGACGGUACCUCCACAAGAAGCCCCGGCCAACUACGUGCCAGCAGCCGCGGUAAUACGUAGGGGGCGAGCGUUGUCCGGAUUUAUUGGGCGUAAAGAGCUCGUAGGCGGUUCAACAAGUCGGUCGUGAAAGUUCAGGGCUCAACCCUGAAAUGUCGAUCGAUACUGUUGUGACUAGGAUACGGUAGAGGUGAGUGGAAUUCCGAGUGUAGCGGUGAAAUGCGUAGAUAUUC